rnacentral:rRNA from 1 species
GAUGAACGCUGGCGGCGUGCCUAAUACAUGCAAGUCGAGCGAACAGACGCGGCUCUUGCUCCUCUGACGUUUGCCGCGGACGUGUGAGUCACACGUGUAUCAUCUACCUAUCAUUCUGGUAUCACCUCGGGACUCCGGCUCUUAUACCGUAUAAUCUAUUGCACCGCAUGGUUCAAUAGUGAAAGACGGUUUUGCUGUCACUUCUAGAUGCAUCCCGGCCGCAUUAGCUAGUUGUUAAGGUAACGGCUUACCAAGGCAACGAUGCGUAGCCGACGUGAGAGAGUGGUAGGCCACAUUGGAACUGGAACAGGGUCAAGGCGACUAAGAGAGGGAGCAGUAGGGAAUCGUCGGCAAUGGGCGAAAGCAUGACGGAGCAAGGGCGCGUGAGAGAUGAAGGUCUUCGGAUCGGAAAACUCUGUUAUUAGGGAAGAACAGAUGUGGAAGGAACUAUGGAGGUCGUGACGGUACCUAAUCAGAAAGCAACGGCUAACUACGUG